GACGAACGCUGGCGGCGUGCUUAACACAUGCAAGUCGAACGGUGAAGGGACCGGUUUUUGCUGGUUCUGGAUGAGUGGCGAACGGGUGAGUAACACGUGAGUAACCUGCCCCCUUCUUCUGGAUAACCGCAUGAAAGUGUGGCUAAUACGGGACAUUCUGCGCCUGCUGCAUGGUGGGUGUGGGAAAGAUAUUGUUUCGGUGGGGGAUGGGCUCGCGGCCUAUCAGCUUGUUGGUGGGGUGAUGGCCUACCAAGGCGGUGACGGGUAGCCGGCCUGAGAGGGUGGACGGUCACACUGGGACUGAGACACGGCCCAGACUCCUACGGGAGGCAGCAGUGGGGAAUAUUGCACAAUGGGCGCAAGCCUGAUGCAGCGACGCCGCGUGAGGGAUGGAGGCCUUCGGGUUGUAAACCUCUUUCGCCAGUGAAGCAGGCCUGUCCCUUUUGUGGGUGGGUUGACGGUAGCUGGAUAAGAAGCGCCGGCUAACUACGUG
rnacentral:rRNA from 1 species